GGUUCGGUGGUCUAGGGGUAUGAUUCUCGCUUCGGGUGCGAGAGGUCCCGGGUUCAAAUCCCGGCCGAACCC
rnacentral:tRNA from 1 species